GCGUAAGCGCGCGCAGGCGGUUUCUUAAGUCUGAUGUGAAAUCCCCCGGCUCAACCGGGGAGGGGCAUUGGAAACUGGGGAGCUUGAGUGCUGAAGAGGGGGGCGGAAUUCCACGUGUAGCGGUGAAAUGCGUAGAGAUGUGGAGGAACACCAGUGGCGAAGGCGGCUUUUUGGUCUGUAACUGACGCUGAGGCGCGAAAGCGUGGGGAGCAAACAGGAUUAGAUACCCUGGUAGUCCACGCCGUAAACGAUGACUGCUAGGUGUUAGAGGGUUUCCGCCCUUUCUUGCUGCGGCUAACGCAUUAAUCACUCCGCCUGGGGAGUACGGUCGCAAGACUGAAACUCAAAGGAAUUGAUGGGGGCCCGCCCACCCGGUGGAGCAUGUGGUUUUUUUCUUUU
rnacentral:rRNA from 1 species